rnacentral:rRNA from 1 species
AGUGAACGCUGGCGGUAGGCCUAACACAUGCAAGUCGAACGGCAGCACAGUAAGAGCUUGCUCUUACGGGUGGCGAGUGGCGGACGGGUGAGGUAUACAUCGGAAUCUACUUUUUCGUGGGGGAUAACGUAGGGAAACUUACGCUAAUACCGCAUACGACCUACGUGUGAAAGCAGGGGAUCUUCGGACCUUGUGCGAUUGAAUGAGCCGAUGUCGGAUUAGCUAGUUGGCGGGGUAAAGGCGCACCAAGGCGACGCUCCGUAGCUGGUAUGAGAGGAUGAAUAGCCAGACGGGAACAGAGGAAGGGCCCAGACUCCUAGGGGGAGAAGCGGUGGGGAAUAUUGGGCAAGGGAGGCAAGCCGGAUCCAGCAAUACGGGGUGGGUGAAGAAGGCGUUCGGGUUGGAAAGCCAUGUUGUUGGGAAGGAAAAGCAGCAGGUUAAUACGCCGCGAUUCUGACGGUACCCAAAGAAUAAGCACCGGCUAACUUCGUG